rnacentral:piRNA from 1 species
UAGCAACUAAGAAUUCCGUUA